GGAUGAGCUGCUGAGCCCUGCCCCAGUCGGGGAGGGGGCAGAGGGAGGUGCAUGGCCUGCUGUCCCAGCCUCAUGGUCCCCAGCGAGCAGCAGCAAGUGGCCUCUCCCACAGGCUCCAUGGCAAGUGCAGCUUCUUCACUCUGAGCUUCUUGUUAUUGAGAGCUGGCCUUUUAAUGACAAUUCCUGCAAGACUGGUGGUCUUGUCUCCUAGCCCAGGCCCGUGCUCAGCCCCAGCCAGAGGGCCAUGCCCACUGCCUCUGAGAGGAUGGGUCUCCCAGAAGCCGACUUUGCGGGUAGGAUUCUUGGGAAGGUGAUUUACUAAGGACUGGUCCCGGAGGACAUGGCUAAGGGAGUGGGGCUGCAGGAUGGGGGAAGGGAAGCAAUAAGCAAAGGAGGGCUUUCAGGCCAAGUCCCAGCUUCAGUCUGAUCCCAGGAGGAACCACGCAGUGUAAGUCACACCUCAUGUUUGUCCCACUCCAGUGGGGAGCUGGGUGUUCACAGUCCCAGCCUGGCAGUCAGCUAUGGCCCACCCUGGGGUGAAUUAAGCUCUGGCACUUCCUGGCCUUUCUCUUCGCACCUGUGAACCAAGGAGGUGCCAGUAGCCCGAGGGCAGUCUUCUGAAGAGCGAAGACUAACCAGUCUGAGCGACAGCUGCCUUUCCAAGCUCCCAAAGAGAGCCUUUGCCCCAGGAGACCCUUUGCCCAAUUCUCUGGUUCAUCCCAUUGGCAUUUUUCAGUCUUCUGUAAAGUGCUGUCAGGUCUUUAGAACAUAAGCUCCCAUCUCCAUAUUGGCCAAUGAAAAAUUAAACUAUUUUUCUUUCUAUCUUGCAGACUCCUGCUCGGGCACUUUGAACAGUGCGCGCAGGCAGAUGAACUCAGAAACAACACUGGGUCCCGGUAACAGCACCGCCAAGAGCUUUGCCUGGUUCCUGGCUAUGAAGUCACAUUAGCAAUCCUUACGGUUCUCUUUUAAUUUUAUAAGCCCCGGCCCCCCAGGCUGCUGGCCUGGUGUCUGACCCCUGCAGCGCCUCCCCCCCGGCCUUCUGGAGGUUCCCCUUCUGCAGUGCUCUCCAUGCUCAGCUGGGGCAGCGUUCUUCAGGAGUCAGGACAGAAAUCUUUGCGGGACAGACCUGCAUGAGGAAUCUACCUGCAUCGCUGAGACCCGAGCACCAGGUUAAAGCCUCUCCAAGGCUCUGGAUUCUCCUCUGUGAAAUGGGAUGAUUACCGUACCUAGUUCAUGCUUCCCAUGGCUCCCCGCUGCCUUCAGG